GUGCCAGCAGCCGCGGUAAUACGUAGGGUGCAAGCGUUGUCCGGAAUUAUUGGGCGUAAAGAGCUCGUAGGCGGUUUGUCACGUCUGCUGUGAAAUCCCGAGGCUCAACCUCGGGCUUGCAGUGGGUACGGGCAGACUAGAGUGCGGUAGGGGAGAUUGGAAUUCCUGGUGUAGCGGUGGAAUGCGCAGAUAUCAGGAGGAACACCGAUGGCGAAGGCAGAUCUCUGGGCCGUAACUGACGCUGAGGAGCGAAAGCAUGGGGAGCAAACAGGCUUAGAUACCCUGGUAGUCCAUGCCGUAAACGUUGGGAACUAGAUGUGGGGACCAUUCCACGGUCUCCGUGUCGUAGCUAACGCAUUAAGUUCCCCGCCUGGGGAGUACGGCCGCAAGGCUAAAACUCAAAGGAAUUGACGG
rnacentral:rRNA from 1 species